GUGGGGAAUAUUGGACAAUGGGCGAAAGCCUGAUCCAGCCAUGCCGCGUGUGUGAAGAGGGUCUUCGGAUUGUAAAGCACUUUAAGUUGGGAGGAAGGGCAGUAAGUUAAUACCUUGCUGUUUUGACGUUACCGACAGAAUAAGCACCGGCUAACUUCGUGCCAGCAGCCGCGGUAAUACGAAGGGUGCAAGCGUUAAUCGGAAUUACUGGGCGUAAAGCGCGCGUAGGUGGUUUUGUAAGUUGGAGGUGAAAUCCCCGGGCUCAACCUGGGAACUGCCUCCAAAACUGCAUGACUAGAGUACGGUAGAGGGUAGUGGAAUUUCCUGUGUAGCGGUGAAAUGCGUAGAUAUAGGAAGGAACACCAGUGGCGAAGGCGACUACCUGGACUGAUACUGACACUGAGGUGCGAAAGCGUGGGGAGCAAACAGGAUUAGAUACCCGGGUAGUCC
rnacentral:rRNA from 1 species